CCUACGGAUGGCAGCAGUGAGGAAUAUUGGUCAAUGGACGCAAGUCUGAACCAGCCAUGCCGCGUGCAGGCAGGCGGCUCUAUGAGUUGUAACCUGCUUUUGUACGAGGGUAAACGCAGAUACACGUAUCUGUCUGAAAGUAUCGUACUAAUAAGGAUCGGCUAACUCCGUGCCAGCAGCCGCGGUAAUACGGAGGAUUCAAGCGUUAUCCGGAUUUAUUGGGUUUAAAGGGUGCGUAGGCGGUCGGAUAAGUUAGAGGUGAAAUCCCGAGGCUCAACUUCGGAAUUGCCUCUGAUACUGUUCGGCUAGAGAGUAGUUGCGGUAGGCGGAAUGUAUGGUGUAGCGGUGAAAUGCUUAGAGAUCAUACAGAACACCGAUUGCGAAGGCAGCUGACCAAGCUACUUCUGACGUUGAGGCACGAAAGCGUGGGGAGCAAACAGGAUUAGAUACCCCAGUAGUC
rnacentral:rRNA from 1 species